UAACUCUAAAAGUGGAUUUCUAAACAGUGCUAUACAAUAUAAAAACGGGCUAUAGAUCGCCAUUAACUGAAGGUAGAUCACCAUGUUAGGGGCCAUGGGGACUUACAAUACUUUUGCAACCGU